rnacentral:rRNA from 1 species
AUUGAACGCUGGCGGCAUGCUUUACACAUGCAAGUCGAACGGUAACAGGCCGCAAGGUGCUGACGAGUGGCGAACGGGUGAGUAAUGCAUCGGAACGUGCCCAGUCGUGGGGGAUAACUACUCGAAAGAGUAGCUAAUACCGCAUACGAUCUAUGGAUGAAAGCGGGGGACCGUAAGGCCUCGCGCGAUUGGAGCGGCCGAUGUCAGAUUAGGUAGUUGGUGGGGUAAAGGCUCACCAAGCCAACGAUCUGUAGCUGGUCUGAGAGGACGACCAGCCACACGGGAACUGAGACACGGCCCAGACUCCCACGGGAGGCAGCAGUGGGGAAUUUUGGACAAUGGGCGCAAGCCUGAUCCAGCAAUGCCGCGUGCAGGAAGAAGGCCUUCGGGUUGUAAACUGCUUUUGUACGGAACGAAACGGCUCUGGUUAAUACCCGGGGCUAAUGACGGUACCGUAAGAAUAAGCACCGGCUAACUACGUG